rnacentral:rRNA from 1 species
GCAUAUCAAUAAGCGGAGGAAAAGAAACCAACCGGGAUUGCCUUAGUAACGGCGAGUGAAGCGGCAAAAGCUCAAAUUUGAAAUCUGGUACCUUCGGUGCCCGAGUUGUAAUUUGGAGAGGGCAACUUUGGGGCCGUUCCUUGUCUAUGUUCCUUGGAACAGGACGUCAUAGAGGGUGAGAAUCCCGUGUGGCGAGGAGUGCGGUUCUUUGUAAAGUGCCUUCGAAGAGUCGAGUUGUUUGGGAAUGCAGCUCUAAGUGGGUGGUAAAUUCCAUCUAAAGCUAAAUAUUGGCGAGAGACCGAUAGCGAACAAGUACAGUGAUGGAAAGAUGAAAAGAACUUUGAAAAGAGAGUGAAAAAGUACGUGAAAUUGUUGAAAGGGAAGGGCAUUUGAUCAGACAUGGUGUUUUGUGCCCUCUGCUCCUUGUGGGUAGGGGAAUCUCGCAUUUCACUGGGCCAGCAUCAGUUUUGGUGGCAGGAUAAAUCCAUAGGAAUGUAGCUUGCCUCGGUAAGUAUUAUAGCCUGUGGGAAUACUGCCAGCUGGGACUGAGGACUGCGACGUAAGUCAAGGAUGCUGGCAUAAUGGUUAUAUGCCGCCCGUCUUGA